rnacentral:tRNA from 1 species
GUCAGGAUGGCCGAGUGGUCUAAGGCGCCAGACUCAAGCUUCGCUUCCCUAUCUGGGGAUUCUGGUCUCCGUAUGGAGGCGUGGGUUCGAAUCCCACUUCUGACA